rnacentral:rRNA from 1 species
UAAUCAUUUGUCUAUUAAUUGUAGACCUGUAUGAAAGGCAAAAUGAGGGCCUAGCUGUCUCUUAUAGUCAAUCAAUUAAACUGAUCUCCCAGUCCAAAAGCUGGAAUAUAACCAUAAGACCAGAAGACCCUGUGAAGCUUUAACAAAACUAUUAAACCAACUAAUAGCUACUUUAGGUUGGGGCGACCUUGGAAAAAAAAAGAACUUCCAAACAAUAUGAUCCUACCUCAUACCCUAUGGCCGACAGGCCAUUAAACCAAGACCCAGCAAAGCUGACAAUUGAACCAAGUUACUCCAGGGAUAACAGCGCCAUCUUCUUCAAGAGCCCAUAUCAAAAAGAAGGCUUACGACCUCGAUGUUGGAUCAGGACAUCCUAGUGGUGCAGACGCUACUAAGGGUU